rnacentral:rRNA from 1 species
AUUGAACGCUGGCGGCAUGCCUAACACAUGCAAGUCGAACGGACCCUUCGGGGUUAGUGGCGGACGGGUGAGUAACACGUGGGAACGUGCCUUUAGGUUCGGAAUAGUUCCUGGAAACGGGUGGUAAUGCCGAAUGUGCCCUUCGGGGGAAAGAUUUAUCGCCUUUAGAGCGGCCCGCGUCUAAGUAGCUAGUUGGUAGGGUAAUGGCUCACCAAGGCGACGAACAGUAGCUGGUCUGAGAGGAUGACCAGCCACAUUGGGACUGAGACACGGCCCAAACUCCUACGGGAGGCAGCAGUGGGGAAUCUUGCGCAAUGGGCGAAAGCCUGACGCAGCCAUGCCGCGUGGAUGAUGAAGGUCUUAGGAUUGUAAAAUCCUUUCACCGGUGAAGAUAAUGACUGUAGCCGGAGAAGAAGCCCCGGCUAACUUCGUGCCAGCAGCCGCCGUAAGAC